AGCGAACGCUGGCGGCAGGCUUAACACAUGCAAGUCGAACGCAUCGCAAGAUGAGUGGCAGACGGGUGAGUAACGCGUGGGAACAUACCCUUUUCUACGGAAUAGCUCUGGGAAACUGGAAUUAAUACCGUAUACGCCCUACGGGGGAAAGAUUUAUCGGGGAAGGAUUGGCCCGUGUUGGAUUAGCUAGUUGGUGGGGUAAAGGCCUACCAAGGCGACGAUCCAUAGCUGGUCUGAGAGGAUGAUCAGCCACAUUGGGACUGAGACACGGCCCAAACUCCUACGGGAGGCAGCAGUGGGGAAUAUUGGACAAUGGGCGCAAGCCUGAUCCAGCCAUGCCGCGUGAGUGAUGAAGGCCUUAGGGUUGUAAAGCUCUUUCACCGAUGAAGAUAAUGACGGUAGUCGGAGAAGAAGCCCCGGCUAACUUCGUGCCAGCCGCCGCGGUAACAC
rnacentral:rRNA from 1 species